CCUACGGGGAGCAGCAGUGAGGAAUAUUGGUCAAUGGCCGGAAGGCUGAACCAGCCAAGCCGCGUGAAGGACGAAGGUGCCAAGCAUUGUAAACUUCUUUUGUCAAGGGACAAAAUCAGGCUCGAGAGCCUGACCGAGGGUACUUGAAGAAAAAGCAUCGGCUAACUCCGUGCCAGCAGCCGCGGUAAUACGGAGGAUGCGAGCGUUAUCCGGAUUUAGUGGGUUUAAAGGGUGCGUAGGCGGACUGUUAAGUCAGAGGUAAAAGCCCGGUGCUCAACCCCGGCGAGCCGUUGAAACGGGCUGUCUUGAGAUGUCGAGAGGUAUGCGGAAUGCGCAGUGUAGCGGUGAAAUGCUUAGAUAUUGCGCAGAACUCCGAUUGCGAAGGCAGCAUACCGGCGGCGAUCUGACGCUGAGGCACGAAAGCGUGGGUAUCGAACAGGAUUAGAUACCCGGGUAGUC
rnacentral:rRNA from 1 species